GAAGGAGAUGGUGUGCAGUGAUCAAUUCAUACAGAAAAAUUUGAGGAGCUCAGUUUUUGCACCUGUAAAACACAAAAUAACAGGUGAAAGCAAAGGUUCCCCAGACACUUUUACUGGAAAACAUUUCCUCUGGUGACUCUGGGGGCAGUCUGCAAGGUCAUCCAGUUUUGAAACUAUAUAAUCUUUUUAUGUUGUUGUUUUUAGCUCUGUUUCAGUAGAUUUUAUUUCUUCAUCCUGGGGAGAGAGAAAUAUAUUUCACAGAAUGCUUUGCACCUAAUGAUAAUCUGUGCAGGCAAAUCUAUAUAACAUACCAUCCACUUUUAUUACUGAGCUCUGCAUGCUUUCCCAGGAUAUGUCAAAGAAAGUUUAGGUCAAGAGGUAUCAUUUUAAAAACUGCCAAAUCCAUUAAACAUUGCUGUGCAUUUUUUUAUCUGUUUAGUGAGACUGCUUAGUGACUUCAAAUACUUACAUGGCUUUUGCAAUAUCGUUUUGAUAUAUUUUGGGAAGGAAAAAAACCCAAGCAAUUGUCAUGGGCACUCUUUUUGCUUUAUUGGUUUAAACACAGCCCACCUGACUCACUUUUAAUGCAAACAAACUAAGUAAUGUUCUGUGGUGAAAAUAUGUACCAUGAGGAGUAGCUACCACCUUUUUCCACUGUUGUCAUGACAACUGAAGCUAAUUUCUAAAAGUUUAAGGGCAGGGUGAAGAAAUCCAUUGGUUGGAAGAUGCAAGAGGUUUUCAACUGAGUAUUCGGACUCUGUCUAAUCAGCAAGCUUUUUUCUCUGAAACAACAUACAAUUUCCAAAGGCCUCUCCAACUGUUCACAUGUCCAAAACCAGUAGGCAUUCAUCCAACAUGGGGUUGUUCUCAAUGUGGAGACAUCAUUUAGCUAUCAUGAAUAGUUGCUGUUGAUGAAGAUAUUCUUGGUGAAUUUGUCUAGCAACCCCUUUAAAGCCAUCUGUGCUAGCAGCUAGGGGCUUAUUUGGGCAUCCUGGCUUCCAUAAGGUUUGCAGAGUGCAAUAAAAUAUGUAGAAAUCAAUGUCCAUUUUUGUUGUUGCUGGGGUCAGGAACUUAAAUCCACUUAAAAUGUGCCAUAGACUGCUAUGGCAGUGAAGUCUGGCUGCAUGGCCAUCACCAAGACCAUUAUACUGGACCCUACGAGCUGCUGUGAUUUAUAAAGACCCAUCAGACUUUCCAGUAAUCAAAGUCAUAAUGCUAAUGUUUGACAAUGCAGUCUACACCAAAUUAAAGAGAUACUUCAAAUUACUGUGCAUGGAGAGCUGAAGGUGUAAAGGGCUCAUUAAAAAUAUUUCUUUUCCCAUUGGAAAUAAUCUUUACAGAAAAUUUGCAGUUGCAAGGAUGGUGCUGGAGUUGAAGGCAGUGAAGAUGGAGGUUACACAAUGAAAUGGGGACAGAAAAUACGCAAAGAUUAUAAGACUAAAGUUACUGGCUGAUAAAUAUUUACUCUAAUUAAUAACAUGUAAAUUGAAAAGGAGGCAUUUAAAGAGAACAAGAGCAUAGCAGCAGUGACAUGCACAUUUUUAUUGUUUGAAAUUUUUAUCGCCAGCAGUUUCAUAAAAAUAUAUCAAGGUGGUAUGCAACAUAAGCAUCAACAGAAACAUCAACAAAUACUGAUUGGUUAAAAAGGGGGGAAUGUCUUAAAGGCCUGUCUAAAUGGUUCAGUUUUCAGAAGAUGUCUGAAUGAAGGCAAAGGUUCCUGCCAAACCUUUACUGGUAAGGGUCAAUUGAACUUGAUUGGUGUGUGGGACUGCCACUCAUCACAGGACCUCAGUGAUGAAGGUGGAGCAAAACAGACCAGGCAGUCCUUAGGCCCAAGUUGUUUUGGGCUUUGUGAAACAGCACAAACUUGGCCCAGUAGCAGGUAUGCAACCAGUGAAGCUUUAUCAGCAAUGGGGUAACAUGUUGCCAGUAACUUGGUGCUAUGAAGUAUCUGGCUGCUGCAUUCUGCAAUAGAUGCAGCUAGUUAUAGCUUUUACUAAACUAGUGUACCAGAAGGUUUGCAGUAGAAUUUUUAUAAAAGCGAACUGAAUAAAUGAGACCCUCACACAUACGUGCACCCUUUUCCUCUAUCCUCUGGCACUGCCACAAGGAGGGAAUUCUCAACUUUUACUUCCAUUUUCUUCCUAAAGGUAACUUUAAACAGCUUUGAUAUCAAAACUCCAUCUCUCCUCCACCCCAGCCUCCAUUGCAGCCUGAGGCUGUGUGCUCCUGGAAAGCUUCGUGUAAAUCCUUACUCCCACAGAGCCCAGGAGCAAAGACUAAAGGCAGCUCCCUUUCUAAAUUGAGAUUUGUAACCAAAUACCUUUGUCACCUGAUCUAAGGUUAAACACUCAUGUGUUAGCUAGCAGAAAACAACAAUAGUUACUUAUCAACCCAACGAGUUCAGUGACCACUUUAGGGUUGCCAUAUUUUGAAGAGCAAAAAAGAGGACACAUUUUCUGACUUUUACUUUUAACUAUGGAUCGCUUUGAUGACUCUCAUUUUGCAUACCCAUGAAAAAGAAGGCGUGUCCUGGAAAAAGAGGACAUAUGACAGCUCUACUCUAGUGGAAUUUCUCCAUGCUAAAGCCUGCAGUAAUACACGUUUCAGUGUCAAUUAAACAAUUAUACCCAACAGGCUGGAACAGCUAGACUUCUAAGUAAGAUGUGGGGAGUCUGUCUUACAAUGGAGGCUUGACCCUCACUCCCCUUCCAGACACUGUCUUUAGGCUGCCCUCCUAAAUCCCAAUGGGUGGGGUCAAAGAGAAAAUACCUACAUUCUAGGUUUACCCAGCCAUCUUUCUCCAAAGUAAAGCAUAGGUAUCCUAUUUAUCUACUUGCACCUUGACAUGCUUUCAAACUGCUAGGUUGGCAGGAGCUGGGACCAGACAACGGGAGCUCACCCCAUCGCAGGGAUUCAAACUGCCGACCUUCCGAUCGGCAAGCCUUAGGCUCUGUGGUUUAGAUCACAGCACCACCUGUAUGAAUUGGUAUUGGACAGCAAAUAUGUUUUUUUGUAACAGUUGUUAGUUUCACACAUAGUUUUUUGAUGGUUUUUUAUUUCUUUACUCAACAUUAAAUUCAGAGGAAAUGUGGCAAAAAUUCCUCUUCCACAGAAGCAAAAAGAUUGACAACCAGUGCAUCCUUGGAUAUACUGUCAGAUCUAUUUGCUCUGCAGUUGGAGUGAAAUAAUAAAAAUGCAAGGGAUUCAGCAUUCAUUUAAAAUCUAAUUCAGGCAUAUGUAGAAAUGUAAUUUUUCUAGUGUUAACAGACUUAUUUUCAUGGCUUGCAGCAUUUUUAAAUGACAAAAUUAUUCACCUCACUGAUCUGGGUUUCCUCUUUCUUUGAAAUCCCCGCAACAGUAAAUCAGGUAGAUUAACUAGGGAUAAACCACAAAGAACAUCUUCCCAAUAUAUAGGUGCAUACAAUGUUUGAAGAAGCCUGAAAAGAUGUUCAGAAAUCUUUAAUCAACCUCAGAAAGUUUACUGUAGCAACAACAAAAAGCAACACUAUGUUUUUCCUUACUUUAGUGCUCAGUAAUUGUGUGAUGAAAUAGACUUGAAAAUGAUUGAAAUGUUACUGGUGGAAUUAGCAUUUUAAAAAUGCUUUACUGUGUUCUUGUGGAUAUGCUCAAUGAGGAAGCAACUGCAAAGGAAUCAAUAAGCAAAGUAAUAAAACACACACCUGCUAAUUCUCAAUUACCAAUAUGACUUCUGUAUACAGACAGUGAUCUUUCCAUUCAUUAAAGGAUUCUGGUUCAAAAGAAAAUCCUGCUAGUGGGAGGGGGAGGCUUUUUUCCAGAUUUGCCCUCCAGUCUCCCGCCCAACACUAUUCCAGAAGGUGAUUUAACAUUCCAGAACAGAUUCUGUGGGAAUGACACAAGAAGGAAGGGGAAAUAAGUGAAAGUUACCUUCAUGCUUCCACCAGCAGGAGUGUUCCAUAACCAGAAUUCUUCUUGCUAAUUUACUUGUUUAAUGCUUGUAUAUCAUCCUUUCAUAAAAAAAGACCACACUGGUGUACAACAGAUACGUGUACAGUGAAAACCACAUAAAAAUCUAAACUGCAGCCCACUAACUAACUAUAACAUAAUUUAAAAAUUAUUAUUUAAUUGUCUGGAUCAGCCUGGCAGCAUAGAAAAGAACACUGGGCUUGAGUCUCAUGUUGGGCAAAAGAUUCCUACACGUCAGAGGGUUGGCCUAGAAGACCCUUGUGGUCCCUUCCGACACUCUUAAGAGCAUGCAUUUUCUCAGAGAAGGAUAGAUGAUAGAUAGAUAGAGGAUCGAUAGAUGGUAGAUAGAUAGCUAAUAGUAUUGUUAUGCAGUGCCAGUUCAAGAUAUUUUGCUGCCUGAGGCAGUGCAGUGCAAGUGAUGCCUUCCAUUUCUAAGGCCAGCACAUUAAAAAGCAUUGCUGCAUCAUUGGAAAAGGAAUUCCCGCCUUCAUCUGUCCCCAUUCAUGGUUUGCCUAAAGCAAGAACCAAUUACUAACAACCACCACCACCAGUGGGGUGGCAUUCAGUAGGUCCAUUGAAAUGAAUGAAUGUGUCUCAGAUCCAUUCAUUUCAGUGGUUCUACUCUGAAUACUUGGUGGAAUAGCAACUCAUGUCUCUUGUUUUCCUUCCCUCUAACAUGUGUUAUGCUGUGCUGGUUUUGGAAUUUCUUGCUGUUUAAGGAAGACGGGAGCACACGACAACACUGCACAUUUAUAACCCACAGACUCUAAGUACCUAGCACUUACCAAGGAAACUCACGGCAGCACAUAUUAGAUUAUGAAGCAGUUUCAUUCCCAUCCAUUUUGUAGCUCAGCCCAGACCUUCUUAGCUACAGACUGCCAUCAGACACUGCCUUCUCUGGAUCUAAUCUCAUUUUUUUAGUCUUCACAAAACACAAAUCAAGUAUUCUCACCACAUUGUGUGUUGUGGAAACAUCAUUCCAAUGUAUUUCAGUUCUGUCCUCUCCAGUUUUUGCCCUGGGGGCCAUUUGCAGGGGACCUGAAAAGAGGAAGCUAGUGUCAGUGGCAGAGAUGAAGGCUGAUGAUCAAUCCAUGUGAAGUAAAAGCAAACUUUUUGCCAGGGAGGGGCAGAAGGCAUGGUCUGUUUUAUUAGCAAAGCUCUGCUAAAUGUGCAGAUUGUGGAAGCAUGUACCUUGUUAUUGGCUCACUAAGUAUGUUGUCUGCUUCUCUUUCCCACUGCUGUUUUCAAGCACCUCUGACCCUGGCACUGCCAGGCCCCAUCAAAAAUAAUGAAGCCUGACAAAUGCAGCUUUAAAUCUUAUGGCUUUUCUCCUCCAGCCUACUAUGCUGCUCCUGCUUGCCUGUUGUUGUCAUCAUUAGACGUCUGAUACAAACUAAGUAAAAGUGGUGGUUAGAUUUGAUUUACAAAAUGGGGGAAAAUCAGUUUAAUUAUCAGUAUAUAAAUUUGUAAUAUUACAUUGAGGCUCCCCCCCCCAAAAAAAACCCCCACACAACCCAACACAUUCACUGGCUGGGGAUGAGGUUGUGCUCUUAUCUAGAAGUAAUGACAGACAU